UACGUAGGGUGCGAGCGUUAAUCGGAAUUACUGGGCGUAAAGCGUGCGUAGACGGUUAUUUAAGUCGGAUGUGAAAGCCCCGGGCUCAACCUGGGAAUUGCAUUCGAGACUGAAUAGCUAGGGUGCGGUAGAGGGAAGCGGAAUUUCCGGUGUAGCGGUGAAAUGCGUAGAUAUCGGAAGGAACAUCAGUGGCGAAAGCGGCUUCCUGGACCAGCACCGACGUUCAGGCACGAAAGCGUGGGGAGCAAACAGG
rnacentral:rRNA from 1 species